rnacentral:lncRNA from 1 species
AUUCACAGUAAGACUUAACCACUUGCCUUCUCCAUCAGGAUUGGCUAGCUGAUGAUCGGCAACAACUUUGAACACGUUUUGAGCAUUUGGCGUCAAACUCUGUAAAACUAUUGAAGCCGUCUUCACAGUUUGUGUGCUGCCACUGUGAGCUAGAAUCGGAGGAAAGAUAUUCCUUCGACCUUGUAGGGUGCAUAGGUAGGAACGUGGUACCAGUACCAAUUGAACUCGGUGUGUACCAUCUUCUUGUUCCAUACUGGUAGAAGCAAUGAAAAAUAUUCAAGAACAACAUUUCCCUAUAUAUAUAUAUCAUCAACAACAGAACUACAAAAUGAGAAGAAACUUACAUAAAGGUGCAUUCACAUGAUAAAUGGAAGCCACCAUGAGAAUAUGAGAACAAGCUGCAAGUCUAGCCAGAAAUUGCUGAGACUCUGAAUCACGCAAACAGGGCCCGUCAAUAUUGUUCACCACAACACAAAUAAAAGAUUCACCAUCCUCCAAAUGUGGGCCAUCCAGAAAUGAAAUAGAUCAUCCAUGGAUUGGGUAUGAAAUGGUUGCUGGUUCUUAACAUGAUUUUCCAAUUUCCUUUGGGUUUUCAACCGCUCCCACAGAAGUUCAGCUAAUGUAACUGUAACCUACAAAUUCCACAUCCAUGAAUUGUUUAGCAUUGUGAGGAUACUGAAAAUUUAUCUUCAAGUCAUCCAUAAAAAGAAUCAGUAUGGAGACAACCAUAUAAAAGUAGUGAAAAAACAUACAUAGGGGAUCCCCGUGUUCUGAUAGAACUGUAACAUUACUCUACAUAACUAGUUAUUAUAAAUGUUGAAUAUCUUAUAAAGAUGAUAUACAAAGAGCAUAGAUGAAAUUACGAUAAUUGUAAAGGGAAGUUACAAGAAAAGGAUGCCAAAUUAAGUUUUGAUUUAGACUACCCAAAAUUUGGUAUUCCUGACUUAAGAUAAUGUUUCCUCUGAACAGUCUUAGACUCGGGCACAAUUUUUUGGCACAGCAAUACAUGGUAAUAUUUCUAGUCGAUCGAGAAAUUCUAUUGGUGGUCAUGUUUUUUUACCAUACCCUUACCCAAAUGUUGUCCAAGGUAGUGAGUGUAUUUCUUCAACAUUUUCAAGAAGGUCCUCGGUCUAUCCUUCAGUCGGCUUUGCUGGUCAUGUGUCUUCAAUCUUCUGCUUCAGUCAACAUCCUUCAUUCUUCAGUCUGGUGCCUUCAGUUAAAGUCNUAUGCAGAUUCCUUGUGUUGUUAUAUCUACUAUACUAUUUAAUUAGCUCCAACAUAACGUGCGCAGAUAUGCAUAGCAUAGGUAGAUGUUGAUUAAUUAGUUAUCCGGUUAUUGAGGAGUGGUUUUAGUUGUUUUUCAUUUACAAAUACUCCUCCAUCUAACAUGUUCUUAUAGGCGGCCCGAUGUUCUUUUAAGCAAUCAAAUACACCUAAAUAUCAAAUUACAACCGCUAGCCGCCUUUUCAUUAAAUAAGCCCACACGCAAUGUGACAGAAUAUAUGGUAGGUCAAUCAUUACAAACUUAGGGUUUUUAAUCGUUUAUUGGUUUUCAGCUUACAUUUAGCAUGGAAUUAAUUGUUUAUUGGUUGAACUUCUCUUUUACCAUUUUCACUUGAAUUUUACUCUGUUCGUAAAUACUUCCACCGUCCUCAUUACUUUUAAACACGGAGAUUAAUGAGUGUGUAAAAAUAAAUAAAGUGAAUUGGUAAAAAUUAUUUAAAUACUAGGUAUAGAGAGAAAAUAUAUUGUCAAAAAAGAAUAAGACAUUAUUAUUAAAACUACCCAAAAAGAAAGUAUGACACUACUAUUGAGACAGAAAGAGUAUAAGUUCUAAACGAUUUUAUACCCGUCUAGUACUUUAAUGUUACAGGAAAGUUCAACUACUCUUCUCAUUACAUCAUUGCUUUUUACAUCAUCCCUAAGAUAUCACUAUCUUAUGUUUGCCUGAAUAUCACUGAAGAUUUGAGAGUAGUAGAUGAUAUUAUAAAGCAAUGUGAUCAAGGCCCAACAGCAUAAGUUAAUAAAAAUACAAACAAGCUGAAAUUUGCUGAAAUGCCAGAAGCUAGAGUACAAAUUUUAGCAAAUGGACAUACAUAGUAAGUAGAGCUCUAUAUCUUCUAUUGGCUAAUCUCAUGUACAAGUUUUUGAAGCGCGUCGCUCGUGAGAGGAAUGUACAAGCAGUCUUCACCAUCUGCGUUUCUUCUCGUCUUCACCAAUUCGUGAUCCUUGAAUUCUGUGAGAUGAGCAUUUAGAGUAAUUUGGCUACUCACCAGAAAACGCUCUCGGCAUACUGUGUAUAAAUUGUUCAAUGGCAUUCCUGCAAGGGAAAAAAACAUCACAUUUGUUAUGCAAAGGCAUAUGUAGUAAUUCACAGUAAGACUUAACCACUUGCCUUCUCCAUCAGGAUUGGCUAGCUGAUGAUCGGCAACAACUUUGAACACGUUUUGAGCAUUUGGCGUCAAACUCUGUAAAACUAUUGAAGCCGUCUUCACAGUUUUGUGUGCUGCCACUGUGAGCUAGAAUCGGAGGAAAGAAUAUUCCUUCGACCUUGUAGGGUGCAUAGGUAGGAACGUGGUACCAGUACUAAUUGAACUCGGUGUGUACCAUCUUCUUGUUCCAUACUGGUAGAAGACAAUAGAAAAUAAUUCUAAGAACAACAUUCCUAUAUAUAUAUAUAUCAUCAACAACAGAACUACAAAAUGAGAAGAAACUUACAUAAAG